rnacentral:rRNA from 1 species
GAGACAGCAGCAGCCACGGUAACACGAGGGGGGCGAGCGUUGUUCGGAAUUAUUGGGCGUAAAGGGUGCGUAGGCGGUUCGGUAAGUCUUAUGUGAAAUCUUCGGGCUCAACUCGAAGUCUGCAUGAGAAACUGCCGGGCUUGAGUGUGGGAGAGGUGAGUGGAAUUUCCGGUGUAGCGGUGAAAUGCGUAGAUAUCGGAAGGAACACCUGUGGCGAAAGCGGCUCACUGGACCACAACUGACGCUGAUGCACGAAAGCUAGGGGAGCAAACAGGAUUAGAGACCCCCGUAGUCCCUGUCUCUUAUAC